rnacentral:lncRNA from 1 species
GCGGUGCGAAGUAAAGUAAAGCCAUCACCAUCUCAGAAAAGCGGUCAACGCCUGCGUACCGGUGUCAGGUGACCACGCUAGAGAAGCACUGAAAGAGAAUCUCUGACGGAAGCCAGCAGAGGAUAGCUGUACCCGUUGCAGACUGGCAGGGAAAAGUAAAGUUGUCUUGUCCCCUACGAUACUGCCUGGAGGGAACCAAGCCUCGUGCCCGAUGAGGCCCAAGGAAGAUGACGUUAGACUCGGUUCACAUGUCAGUGUGACAUGGACGGCCUAUAAAUAAAACAUUACCCCUAUGUAGAUAGGGGAGAGAGAGCAUUUUGGAGAGAGAGCACUUUGGGAAGAGAGCACUUAGUCAUCCAGAGUUUUCCCUUCUUCUUCUUCCUCAAGAACGGCUAAUACAACAAAACAGAAGUAGGAGUCUUACCUCAACAAGAGGGUUCCGAACCUGGGUAAAUCUGUGUGUGCUUGUGUGUUUUGUGCGUGUUUCCUUCACGUCCUCCCUCGUCCAGAUCCUCAUACGUCCAUCAACCCCAAGUUAAGCCAUCCUAUGGCAUCUGCCUUGACACCACCACAACAAGAAGGAUACUGGCGCGUUUCACAUCGGACUGACAAUGGCUAGUUUGGAGGUCGGGAUGGGGAGCCAGCAGAGUGGCCGACGCAGCCGCCAUUGCCGGAGGGGAUGGAGAAUGGUUGGAAGUUUUUUUUUUUUUUGGAAGUAGGCGAGUAGCCAUCGAGCGACAAGCAGAUCCCCUUCUUAUCGGGCCUACGGGCCAAGCGCUAACCCUAUCGGGCCUGGCAGCAGACAAGUCACCUGGGCCGGCCCGCUUACCACCCUAACAACGGCGACAACAACUCAG